rnacentral:tRNA from 2 species
CGCUGAGAAGCUAAUAGGGCCGUAGCGUUAGCCUUUUAAGCUAAAGAUUGGUGCCUCCCAACCACCCUCAGCGA